GAUGAACGCUGGCGGCGUGCCUAAUACAUGCAAGUCGAGCGAACAGACGAGGAGCUUGCUCCUCUGACGUUAGCGGCGGACGGGUGAGUAACACGUGGAUAACCUACCUAUAAGACUGGGAUAACUUCGGGAAACCGGAGCUAAUACCGGAUAAUAUAUUGAACCGCAGGGUUCAAUAGUGAAAGACGGUUUUGCUGUCACUAAUAGAUGGAUCCGCGCCGCAUUAGCUAGUUGGUAAGGUAACGGCUUACCAAGGCAACGAUGCGUAGCCGACCUGAGAGGGUGAUCGGCCACACUGGAACUGAGACACGGUCCAGACUCCUACGGGAGGCAGCAGUAGGGAAUCUUCCGCAAUGGGCGAAAGCCUGACGGAGCAACGCCGCGUGAGUGAUGAAGGUCUUCGGAUCGUAAAACUCUGUUAUUAGGGAAGAACAAAUGUGUAAGUAACUAUGCACGUCUUGACGGUACCUAAACAGAAAGCCACGGCUAACUACGUG
rnacentral:rRNA from 1 species